UACAGAGAGUGCAAGCGUUAAUCGGAAUUACUGGGCGUAAAGCGUGCGUAGACGGUUGCGUAAGUCAGAUGUGAAAGCCCCGGGCUCAACCUGGGAAUUGCAUUUGAGACUGCGUAGCUAGGGUGCGGAAGAGGGAAGCGGAAUUUCCGGUGUAGCGGUGAAAUGCGUAGAUAUCGGAAGGAACACCAGUGGCGAAAAGCGGCUUCCUGGUCCAGCACCGACGUUCAGGCACGAAAGCGUGGGGAGCAAACAGG
rnacentral:rRNA from 1 species